GAGGACCCCUCUGCGGUGGCUGCGGUGGUGCGUGAUGCGGUUCCAGCCCGUGGCAGAGCUGGAGCGACGAGAUCCCGGUUUCCAGCAGGUGUGUUUGUUGCUGGUGAAGCAAACGGCCGUAUCUCCGGCCGGCUGUGACCAAGCACUGAGCCACGGAGACGUGACCCCGAGAUGCAGCAGUUGGUGCUUCUGAGAACGAACUAAAACCUGACUCGAGCCAACUGGGAAUGUAAACCGCACUGACCAAGGAAAGUUGGGGAAAUUGCCAGUGAAUGCAGAAAAAAAGAAAAGGAAGGAAGAUGUGGAAAGCAGGAGUUUAUAGAGUGUUGCUGAAGACCUUCUCCCAGGCUAAAAUGACGAUCAGUUCCAGGUUUGGAGUCAUAUCAACAGUAGAUAAUUUAGCCACCCUUGAGGAUGAAGAGCCUUUCCAGCGUACUUCCCCUGGCGCAAUUCAGGUGGAGAAGGAAGAGCGCAGGCCAGUCGGAUGGGCACCGGGCAGGCC